GCCUACGGGGGGCAGCAGUGGGGAAUAUUGCACAAUGGGGGAAACCCUGAUGCAGCGACGCCGCGUGAGUGAAGAAGUAUUUCGGUAUGUAAAGCUCUAUCAGUAGGGAAGAAAAUGACGGUACCUGACUAAGAAGCCCCGGCUAACUACGUGCCAGCAGCCGCGGUAAUACGUAGGGGGCAAGCGUUAUCCGGAUUUACUGGGUGUAAAGGGAGCGUAGGUGGCAUGGUAAGCCAGAAGUGAAAACCCGGGGCUCAACCCCCCGGAUUGCUUUGGG
rnacentral:rRNA from 1 species